UACAACUUCAUUUUUUCAGCUAGGGUUUCAUUCUCCAAUCCCAUAGUUCCUGCCGCCCCCACGCCCCAGCCAUUCUUCUGCCAUCUCCGCCGCGCCCAGGUCCGCCGCCCUGAGGCCCCUGCCGAGCCCCACCCAUUCUUCCAUCUCCGCCGCGCCGAGUCCCUCCUCGAUCCGUGCACUGCGCCCAGGUCGCCGCCUUGAGGCCCCUCCAAGAUCCGCGCCCAGGUCCGCCGCCCUGAGGCCCCUCCAAGAUCCGCGCCCAGGAUGACAAUCAAGACAUCAAAGAAUAUACAAUGUCUUGAGAGUUUUGUGAAGAAAACAUUGGAUGAGAUUUGCAAGGAGCUUCAAGAUCAAAUGUCAUGUUUUAUAAAUAUUGUGUAAUUUUGAUACAUUUUUUGGAUUUAUUUUGUGAUUUUGCAUUGUGGAUUGAAAUUUUUGGAAUGACUACAUAACAUAUUUUAUUUA